rnacentral:lncRNA from 1 species
GAGAGCCAGUCAUUCUUCUCGUCUGGUCGAUCGCCUCCUAUCUCGAUCGUGCUCCUUCCAUCUUGUUCUUCUGGGAUUCUUUUCCCCGCAUUCUCUUCUUACAGCGCCGCCGCUUCGGCUUCGGCUCCCAAUGUCUCUCUGGCCCUCUGCUACGAGAAAUCGUGCCGUAAUAUUGCCAACAUCGUCGUCAAUUACCUCGGCGAGAUUGACGCCGACCGCCUCCUCUCCAUCGUCGGCAACGCCAGGAGCCGGAACGGCACCAUAUCCUGCUGGGUACUCCCGUCUAUUCCUUUCUCUGACCAACUCGAAGUGGUCGCCACCCUUAGAAAGGUCGUGAGGAUGAUUUUUUCUGCCUUUGAUGGGGGUGUAGAAUAUAAAAAAGGAGGGUUCUUGCAAUAAAACGGAUCUUGUUCUCUUGCGUCGUUGUCCCAAUGAGUGCUUAUACGCCUAUAAUGCUCGGCCCUAUUUGUUAGUAUUCUCUCUACAGUCGUUCCUCUCUUCACAGAUUGGAUCCAGUUAUGCUCUUUCAAGCUUAGUUGUUUAACAUCCUUAGUUGUGAAUAGAUAUGGGUAAAAAUUUCAGCUUAAUUGGGGAACAUCUGAAAGAUCAAAAAAUUAAGCUCUUAUCUUUACAAUGGCAUCAUAUAAACUCUUUGGUUUGUGCCAAAAGACUCGAAUGUCAUAGGCUUCAUCAUCAAGAGGACGUAAAUGUAGUUGUGUACAUAAAUUUUAUUAAGAUAACUUGUAGAUGAGCUGCAUGUUAUAAUUGGUCAAACAUGAAUUCUAGCAAAAAUGCACGCUAUUGUUUACGUGGCAGCAGGUUUCAUCAAUAUUGUUGUCUAAUUAUCAUGGACUUAGCUGGUUUUGCCUAAGUCGUACGGUACCCUUGCGUGCCCGUCCGCAAAGGUCAGCCUCCCCAAAACCUCCUAUAGUCCCUUAGGAUCUACAAAAGAGAAAACAGGUUAGAGAAAGCGCCUCACUCGAGAUCCACAAGCAAAGAUUCCAGGAAACACUUCAUAGACAAUGCAAAUUACAAACAGACUUUACAAGCUCUGAACAGUUGCACAACAAAGGGUCAAAAUGGUCCACUAUAGAUCGAAUAUCUCUCACAAGUGUCUACAUGACACAAUCUUUAUUUACAAGCCUAAGAAGGCCACCAAACCCAACUAAAAUGAGGCUUUUAAGUCUUCGACCGUCCCUCUACAUGAUGUGCAAAGCAUGAACAAACCAAAAGACACGGACAUAUAUAAGUAUUACAUCAAACAUCCUGUUUAGAACUUUGUCCGUGACAUAAUGGUUCCUUCAUGGAUCCACGAGUACAAUAUUCAGAAAGGCAGAGGUAAGAAGGUGAUAUGAACACACCUCACGUAAUCCAUAUGAUGUAUCUUGACAUAUCUUUACAUGCUCGGAUGUGUAGUUACACCAACUAUUGGAAAUGUCCUCUGCUUUCUCAUUUCCGCCUGUUGAAGUGCCUGAUUAUAUUAAAAAUAAACUAAUUUCCAAUCAUAUCUUGUACACAGCAUAUGCUGCAGUAUGACUACUGAAUCUGCACAUCUUAAUCCAAUUCUUACUACUGUUUCAGCAUAAUGCUUUAUCAACCUAAUGGAGGACACCCUUUGUGCCAUAGUAUAGUUGCCCAUGUUUUGGGCUGGUAUCAGGGGUCUACAUUAGCAAAAGUCAGGCAGCAUUGCAUGUUCCGCUACCAGGUUUUUACAUUCUUAAGGUCAUAGCUAAUUCAAGGGAUCUUGACAUGCAUGAUGUGGAAUUCGUUUAGCUGAAUCUGUGUGUGUUACAUAGUGCAAAUCACUUGAAGAGUGAUCUUUCAUUACAUCUCCCAGAAGCUAUUAUUUUCUUUCAACUUUUGCAGAAGAACAUUUCAGCAUCAUCUACUCAGUUGAGAGCCUGGUUUUGAAACAUAACUACCUUCACUGGAAAUCCUGGUUUUCAGAAACUGGAUUUAGUUCACAUGCAGAUAGUGGACAUGGGGAAGAGUUCUCGUCCAACUACUUUAUCAUAUGUAUGACAUAUAGUAAUAAGUUUGUAAUAUAAACCUGCAAAUGUAUUUUGAAAUUUUAUGGGAAAAAAAUCAAGUCAGUUUUGAUGCUGUCUGCAGCAAAUUUUCUUCUGAUUCUAUUGAUUCUAUAUCUUCAGCUAAAGUAAUCUUGUUACUAUAGCUUGAUGAAAUGUAAUGUAAAUCUCUUUUUUUUUCUCUCAUACAUUGGAUGUAGUUUCAAUUUCUACAAUACGUAUCAGCAUAUUCUAUAGUUUGUAAUUUCUUAGCACAUACAUAUCAGAUUUUAUUUUGACGAGUCAAUUUACUGAACUUGGUCCCUUCUAUUUUUGCAGCUUGAAUUAACAGUAUGGAGCACAAACAGAUUCUCUGAAGCCCCCUCAGAGAUACAUCUAUUGGGUAGUGGUGGAUGGACAUCCACUUUAUGAGGUUAGUUCUAAUGAUUAGGAACUUCUUCAGUCCUCUUCUGUUGCGUCACUGUGAUGUACAUCAUAACGAAUUGAUUGGCUGAAAUUGGGUUUAAAAGCGGCAAUAUGCACGAGUCCUUAUCAGAAGUUUCCAAGUUACAUAUACUGAAGCAUACAACAUUCUCUUCUAUUCUAAUUUCAGUUGAACAAGUCAAUUUACCAGUUGGUUUAUUCUUGCGUUACUAUUAGGGUAGAUGAUAUGUUCAACUCUUGACCUUUCUGCCUCCUUGAGCUGUGGGGAAGCAGUUGUAUUGCUUGUGCUGAAUUCUGAAGACAUGAUUAUUUGUGAUCCAUUGUUAUUCUAAAAUUUAGAAGAAAUGUAAUUUCUUGAGAAUUUGCUUUCUUGGGAUCCCAAAUUAGUUGCACAAGCAUUGUACGUUGCCAUCUUAAUGUGCAAACCUGAGUAUUCCUUUAAAUAACUUAAGAUCUGAUAUUUUGGUGUUUUGUGUACUUCAGGUUGGUAAUGGUGAGUUUUUUUCAUCAUUGUAUUCCCAUAGAUGCUUCUCAUGUUUGAAAAUAGUGUUAUUUGUCUAUUACGGAACAAGGAAAGUUGGCUCUCCAUUUCCCCGCUUUAAAUUUGAAUACAAGAAUGGUAAGCCAAGGUGCUGAACGGAUCUGUAGUUCUGAUUAUUUCAUCCACCUAACUAACUGCUUACAUCCUGAGUCCGAUGCGAACCACCUCAAAUGCAUCUUUUUAAACGCUUCUUUAAGAGUUUGACUUUAUAUCUAUAUUUUUUCAAGUACAAUAUUCUUGUACUUCGAAGUCUACCUGGAAUUUGUAAGUCCAGAUAUAACCUUUGGAACGUACAUGUCCCCUGACAUUGAUAAAAUAAAGAGAGAAAAAGGAAUAUGCCUGGAUGGUUAUGUUAAAUUUUAAUCAAAAUGGCUGUGAUUGAAGUUGAUUAGUUUUGUUUCUGUUGGAAUCACUUGUCAUGUGAAAUGAACGUUUUUGUUCAAUUAUUAAUUUCCAGCCAGACUUCAAGCCACAAGCAGCCAGUUCUGUAGUUGUGAGGAAGGCAAGUCUUCUUCCAUGGACAUUGUUUGUCAUGUGCAUCUUUCAUAAAUCUACAAUGUUUCACAUUUUGAGCCACACCUGGGUGAGGAACUUUAGUAAAUUGGGUAUGAAAGACUCUCGUUGUUGAUCCUUUGGUAAUACUCUUUAAUCUCUUUAAAUGAAGGGACAAGUUUUUGAUGUUGGGAACAUUAAAAACUUGUGCUUUCAUUCUAAGUUUUGAUCCUGGCAGAGCAUUCGUUUACCAACUUUGGAUGCUUACACGUAGAAUUCAAGAUAACACAUUGUUUACCGUGAAUCCUGGGCAAGAAAUUGCACUAGACUUUGCAAAUGAUCUUUGUUUUGUUGACAUUUCAUUUCAUUCCACUGUCAUUUCUGAUGGUUGUUGCAUGAAGUUAAUCUGUAGGCCCUUGUUAUUUAUGAUGUCAAUCAUUUGCUCCCUCCAUUGAACUUGUUCUUCUCAAUGUCAUACAGCUGUGCUCUUUAUCUUUCCUAAAACAAAAUUUAUGAUAACUAUCUGCGCCACCUUCAUUUUCCAUCGCAGGAUUAUGAUAACUCCGAAGCUGACAUUUGCAAAGCUUCUACUAGGGAGUCGCCAAAAGACCUGCUUUGGAUUGACCCUCCAUACCCAACCGGGAAAAGGAAUCAAAUAGUCUUAUGCUCAUGAGAUGAUCAUUUCAGAAUGAUAAGACGAAGAUAAGAAUGGUAAUACAAGCUUCCAUGCAGAUUUCCUAUACAUGAUUGUUCUUUUUGGUCAUAUGGUGGCCUUGUGAAUAGGUAAAUAAUGAAAAUCUUCGCUCAUAGGAAGAAAUUUCUUGUACAUGAAAAUGUGAACCUUCAUCUUGUUAGAUUGCAAACAUACUGGAAAGGCAUCUGCAACCUGUUGUGUUAAAUACUAUUUUGCUGCUUAAGUAAUUUAUCUUUUUCUCCUCUCUUUCUCUUGGCUCCAAACCCAUCCUGGUACAUUAUAGAUACUGGUUUUGUUGUCGUCAUCUGGUGACAAAACUCUAGGGUGACCGUUUUAUGACACAGUAAAACUCUUAGAGUUGUUCGCCUAUAAUUCUGUUCUCUAAUAAUAUUAGAUAUAGAAUUACAUUGAACAUUUCACCUCUAUUCAGCCAUAUCAUCGCAAAAAUAGCAUAAUUUAGAUCUUUCUCUAAUUUAAUUGUCAAAAAUUUAAAAAUAAAUAAAAAUAAUUGUGUGUAAUUGCCCAAAGACUCUGCAUAUCUCUCUCCAUUAUAGGUUGGUUUUUUCUUGAAGACAUGUUUUAUGUAAUUUAUUUUUAGGUACAAUCAUGCUAUUUGAGCCACAUGCUUUUUGUUUGAUAUGAAUGAUACAACUUUUUUGAUUCAUAGGUACUGAUUGUGGUGGGUUAUGUCCUCCAAUGUUCCCCAUCAGUAAUGAAAUUUUUUAGGCUCACAACAUUGGUGGAUCUCAAGGAUUGUACCUAUGGUAAAGAAAGAAAAAGAUGAGAAGAAGGAGAGGCAUCAUAUUAUGGAAAAUGCUGGUAACAAAUUUACCUUUUUCUCAUUAAGGUAAGGGUUGAUAACAAAUAGUAUAGGAUACUAGUAAAUUUUACCUAAUCCAGAAAUUUGAAUCUUACCAGAAAACUGGUUUGUGUAUUAAUUUAAUCAAAAAAUAGAAUUUAAUAUAGGAUCACUAAAAGGUAUGGAAAAUGUUGGUAUUGAAAUAACUUGAAUUGCACAAUUAUGCAUGGUCCAUUUUUUAAGAAAUAAGAAAAAAGAAACAUUCACAAAGAUCUUUACUUCAACUCAUUUAGAAGUUCAAAAGCUUAAAAUAUACUAGACAUAGUAUGUUUGAAUUAUAUCUAUUUAAAUUUCUGUUGAAAACAAUCGCUGAUUAUUCACCUAUUUACUUGCAUAUACGCAGUCACUGUUCUUUAAAUUCCUCCCUCAUAUUGUCCACAUGACUUGAGAUAACUUUUCAGAGAGGUGAAGAACUCUGAUUUCAUCUCCUUUUGUUUUGGUGUACACUUCAUUGAUUUCUUUGUUUAGUACGACAGCAGAAACAGUCAUGACAAAUCAUUACUGCCCAAAAGAAUAAAAAAGGUUUAUAGUAGGGAAUAAUUUUGAUGCUGUGAUCAUCAUUAGGCAUCUCUGACAUACGAGGAAUCGGAAUAGUAGUUCUUACAUUCUUAUCAAUUUGAUUUAUUUUUUUCAAAUAUAUUUCAAGUGUAUUAGACAAUUAUACUCAAAACCAGACAUGACAACCUAUGGCUUGGAUAUAUAUAAAAUGUAUAAAUAUAUUAUUUGACAAUUAUACUCAAAAAUUUUUACGGUUAAAAAAAAUAUAUCGGAUGAGAUCUCGAAGACUCGAUCUUAUUUGGUACAUCAAUUGGACUCUUCAUCUAGUACAUCAACAUCAAAUCGGUAUUUUAGUAUAAUACUUCCGAUUUAUACUUUACAAUCUUAAAUACUAUCAAUAUAAAAGAAGUAGCUCUUCUUAGAAAACAAUGUUUGGGUAGUAAGCUUGCUAACAAAGGCUGUUUACAGAAGAAGAAUCAUUGCCCUUUUAACAAUGAAGCUUUUAAAUGCGUGAUGGGAUACAAGUCAAUGUAAAUGCCAAUUGAUAAUUAUAAGCUGUUGAUGUGUUGCUUUGAGUUAUGGAUUCCAUAAUAAUUAUGGAUUCAACUCGUACGGUAUACAUAAAAAAUAAUAUGAACAAUAAUUAAUGGGUCACUAGAAUAUUAAUAUUUCAGAUGAAAAGUCCUCAAGAUGUGUUGUCAAACCACACUAUUUUACUUGUGUGUUUUAUAUAUAUGAUAUAAUUGUUUUUUACAUUAGAUUAACAUGCUAAUAUUAUCAAAUGAAUAGGGCCAAAUUAUUAAUCCCGGAGGAAGAAGAAGGUGCAACGAAUGCGUACAAAAGAACUUUCGUGAAUCGAUUCUGAUCAUGACACAUAAGAUAAAAUAAAUCUCAUGGUCUUCAUCAGAUGAGGACCAGAAGCUUAUUGAAGAAGUAGGCAACCUGUAAAGCAUUUACGAUCAUAAUUGUAGAGAAAGUUAUAGGAGAUAAUUUGAUUAUUAUUUAGAAAAGAGAUGGAAUUCAAUAGGAUUCAACACAAUAAAUACUACUUAAAAGGGUUGUGAAUUGAGGUGAUUUGAUCGAGGAAGAGAAAUAUGAUGUGGGCAAAUCUCCAAGUGCACCAUCUUGGAUUGGAGCAUCAGGUAGAUUAUAUAGCACGGAUACGAGCAGGAAUCAAUGAUCAAGUCAAGACAGAACCACAUCAUUCGACGUGACCGCUACAUGCAUUGUUUAUCUAAUGGUGGAGGUUGUGACAUCCCCACAAUUCUUAAUUCUGCAUCGCUCAAUCAGCAUGGAUGCUUACAAACGCCGGUAGGUCACUGUUCUAAGCCUCUUUCUAGCCCCUCACUGCACCAAAAGCAAUAAAGAACGCACCCAUGGAUCGCGGGCUGUUCACACACAACAUGUGUCGUGUUUCCUCACAAAGAUGGUGAGAACAUAGCAUGUUUGGCACACCAAAAGAAGGCCGAGUAUGAUGGCGAGUCGAUUGCUAUUCCGAAGCUUUGGUUCUCCUUUCGAGAUCUCUGUGGCAUGUACGCACUGCACAAGCUGAGGCCUUCUUCCCUCCCUCCCUCCGUGGCGACGUCAAGGUAGGGCAAUGAGUCCGUACGAGGAGCUCCGCUGCUUCGCUGUUGCUUGCACAAGGACUAUUACUUUUAGGUCGAGUGCAGACGCAAGAAGUGGUUCCUCUUUCUAACCCAUCUUCCUCGAGUGACAUUAUAAUACUCCCGUCUCUGUCUCUCUCUCUCUCUCUAGCUACCUUGAGAGAUUGUAGGGUUUUGCACCCAUAUGUGAAGGGUGAGGUCUCGAGUGAAAGUAGCUGGUAGAUUCUGGAAGGAUUGAUGUGCAUCGAAAAUGGCAUUGAGAUCCUUGUAAAGGUUGACCGCAAAAGGGAACUUAGUGUUGCAAUCACCACGGGCUGCGUUCAGCUUUAAUGGAAGAACAUGCACCGAUGAUUUAUUGUGUACAGAUUACAGAUGCUUCUAAAUCUAAUGAGGGGUUAAUGAAGCACGGUAGAGUGAGCGAGAGGUGGCCGCUCGUGCGGGGAAUCCUUUGCAACUCCUUUACCUUGAUGCCAGUAACAGUGGCUCUCACUGUUACUAAAGCAACCAAAAGGAGAAGAAUGAAGACAAGAGGAAAAAAGGAGAGCGGGGAGACGAACCGAGACACAAGUCUGUGAGUCUGUGACUGCUUUAGAAGCAAAUAAACAAAGGAAAGCUUUCGUACUAUGAACAGUGAGGGGGAGGGGAAUCUGAUGUCAGUGCUUCCUGGACCGACCUGUUUCCUUCCUUGUUGUUCAAAGAGGAUGCCGAGUUUGCAGUGUGGCUAAUGAUUCAUGAGUUAUGGUGCAACUGGUGCAAGGUGACUGCACGCUUCGAAAACUGGGGAAGAAGAAGAGGUUUGCCCCAAUUAAAGAACACUGUCCAAUGAGCCAUCGAGAGAGAGAGAGAGAGAGUAGAAAUGUAUAGUGUCAAAGAAUCAGCUAAUAUAUAUGUCCAUAAUUAGAGCGGAGAAAGAAAACUGUAUCAACUUCAAAUCCAGUAGUGCAAGCAAAAGAUGAGGAGGAAUCACUAAGGAAGCAAUUGAAGUAGAACAGGUUAGUAAUUCUUUUGACCAGUUAAUUAGAAGAGAGAGAGAGAGAGAGAGAGAGAGCUCUAAGUUCUCCGUUUCGCCCAUCUUCUGUGUCGUCAACAAUAACAUGUCUUUGAGGCGAUCAUACCAGCACUAAUGCGCAGUCAUGAAACGGAUGAUGAACCACCGGGCUGAUCGCAGCCUGGUCUGAUCUCUCCCACCACGGAACUCAUAGCGCCGCCGCCCCCGCUACUGCUGUCACUGGCACUAAUAGGCCCGCCCGCAGCAGGUGGAGCCAUAGUGGACGGCUCCCCUCCGCCGCCCGAACUCCCCUCGGCGGCCAAAGACCGUGCUCGCUUCCGCUUCUUCUUCUCGUAGGGGAUGCCACGAGCCUUCGAAUGGCUCUCCCGCACCUCCCUGAGGUAACUCCUGACGGCCCGGGCGGCGAAGGGGUUGGACUCCUGCCGGCCCCCGUUCUCCUCGUAGGCGGCGCGGAGGCGGCCGAUGAGGGCGUCGAGGGAGCCCCAGGCUUGCUUGAGGGGGCACGCGCAGGAGGCCGGCGGGUUGGGUUGGCCGAAGAAGGUGCAUCCUGGGGAGUGCACCUUCGUCUUCCCGAACUGGUCCAGGUACUUCAAGAACUCGAUCACAUGCGCGCCGCUGCACCUCGCGAGCGUCAACGGCGGCUUGUGGUUCUUCAGGUACUGCAGGAACGUGUUCCAGUCUCGCCUCUUCUGCGACUCGUACCGACUCAGCGGUUGCCGCUGCUGCUGAGGAGGAGGAGGUGGCUGCUGUGGAGAUUGAGGAGGAUCAGGGGUUGGGUCGGCGACGGCGGAAGAGGAGGAAGGGCCUUCGUCAGGGCCUCCGCGCCCGUGCGGCGCCGGUUCCAUGCAGGAGCACGCGGUGGAGCUCUUCUCUCCUUCUCUGCCUUCUUUUCCUCUGUUAGUAUUACCGCUGCCGCUGCUGUUAUCCGCUAUCUGGAGCUUCCAUGGGGGUUGACAGCUACUGCAGGUCCUUCCUCUGUGAUCUGUGGGAAGGGUUUGGCUCUCCCCUUCCCCAAGAACUUUUCUUCUGUGGUUGGGAAGGAUUGAGCCAAGGUGGGAGAUGCUUCAGUAAAUGGGAGGGGGGGAGGGAGGGAGACACAAGGUGGGUUGAGAUGGGACGUCAAAAGGGUAGGCACACACGAGAGACACAGAGAGAGAUAGAGAGAGAGAUAGAGAGAGAGAGAGAGAGAGAGAGAGAGAGAGGGGUAAUCAACGUGGUGGCUCCCUCGAUGUUGGGACGUGAGGGGAGACCGACAUUACCUGUUGUUCGGGUCUUUUUGGAGUGCGUGUGAUAAAUUUCAUGGGAAAGUGUGGGGGCCACGUGUUGUCCUCUUUCAUUUUGGCAAUUACAAUUCUAUUAUAUAUAUAUAUAUAUAUUGUGAAGUUAAUUCAUUAUUAUCCUAAAUAAUUGGUUAAGAUAUACUGAGAUUUUUAAUUAAAUUUUAAUUAAGGUUAUCGAUGAAUAAAAAAAAUUUAUUUAUGUUAGAAUUCAUCUUAGGAAAUGAUAUGGGAGAAACUCUCCUAAUGACCUUUUUAAUCUUUUGCUUUGGCCAAGAUUUCUUCUCUCAUCUUCCGAUAAAUAUUUAUUCCUUCGAUUAUAAUAAUCAUGAAAAUAAGAAAAGAGAAAAAAAAAUUUAGCUUCUUUUGUAUGCAAAUUAAUGAUGCAUGUAGAUCAUCACGGUAUAUUGCUUUGUCACAUCUGAAAUUUAAAAGAGACACACAUGUCUUGAAUAAUAUGUGAUACUUAAUUUUAAUUCUAACAUUAAAUUUUUAUAUAGUAAUUUUAUUUCUUACAUUCAUCCCUAUCAAAGUAGACACAAUUGACAUAUGUUCCUUCCCUUGUCUUUUUCUAAGGAAGAUGGGGCUUCUCAUAAUGACCUUCGUAUAGGAUUAGUUGGGACAGUGUCUCUUUAAUGUACAUUUAAUCACCAUUUUAGGAUAAUAAAAAUGCAUUUGGGCUUCUUAGUCCUUAUCAAACUUAGGGUGAAAUGUAUAAUUAUCAUUGUAAUCUUGCUAUGAUUUUUCCUUGUCUCUCAUGUUGAUUUCUCAUCUCCUACUAUAUUUUCUUUUUGCUAUUUAUCAUGGUCAAGUAAGGGUUUUCACAUGAAAAUGUCAAUAAAGAUAAACAUCAUUUAUGAUCCAAUAAAAAUGCUAUCUAUUAGUGUUUGCCUGGUUAAGAUUUAAUUCUCAUAGGAGAUUAUUGUAGUAGAUGAAAAAUUGAUGUUAAUCUUCUCCAAGUGCUUCAACUUUCAUCACAUUUAUGAACAAAAUUGAAGUUUAUAUACAAGUCCUCUUACAUGCACAUAAUAUAGGGAAGGAUCAUAGCAAUUUUAACUCAAUGUUUAGAGUUAAUUUUAUAGAUAAAAUAUAAAUAAUGCAAUUUAUAAACUUCUUUAAAAGAUUUGAUAGGUUUUGGUCCAAGAAAAAGUUGCUUCACUAAACCCAACUAACUUGGCUUGGGUGCUUCUAACUUGAGCUAGGUUAGAGUUGGAUAACCUUAACUUGACCUAAGCUUGAAUUAGGUUAGGGUUGAUUUAGUUGAGUUUACCAUAUAUUUUUUGCCAAAUACAACUCAAGUAUUCGAUCAAAUCUAACCGAUUCCAAUCGAUCUAUACUCGACUUGAAUCUUAGUUGACUUAAAAUUUUUACGAGUGUGAAGUUAAUUUUAAUUUUUUACUUUCAGUAAGAUAGGGUUAUUUUUUCUAAGAUAAAGAUCUGAAUCUUAGAAUAUCACAUGCAUUCAGUCAGCAUUUUUGCAUAUUAAUUUUUACCACCCUUAGAUAAUAUAAAAUAUUAAAGAAUCACUUUCAUUAUUUGGUUAAAAAUAAUAAUGUUAUAAACAAUAAUAACAACAAUAAUGUCCCAACCAUUUAAGAUCAUUCAUAAGAAUCUAUUGACAUCAUUGAGAUCUACAGAAAACUAUAUUUUUAAUUAAAUAAAAUAUUUUUAAAAAAUAUUUAUAGUUUUCUAAAAUCUUUGUAGGUCUUCUUUGAUUACAUCUUCUAAUAAUUUGUGUUUUUUUUUUGUUUGAACAAAUGAUUUCAAUUGUCGUAUGUUAUGUCUUUUUAUAUAUUUUGUUUUUUUUUGUUUUCUCAAGAUUAUAUUUCGUUUUUCAUGGUUAGAGUUGAGAUAAAUGAGACAAAACCAUAGCCGUAUGAUUUCCUUGGGAAUUCGUGGUGGAAGGUUGAUACGAUAAGAUUGGCUUUUGAGUUGAUGCUACCAAAAGCUUGGAUGUGGGUACAAUUCUCUCAUGCCUUUUUGUCACAUUAUUCUCUUACACAGUAUUUUAAAGAGAAAAUAUGAGAGAACAAUCAAACAAUACCUUUCAAGUUAAUUAAUAAUAAUAAUAAUAAUAAUAAUAAUAAUAAUAAUAAUAAUAAUAAUAAUAAUAAAGUGAUAUUAAUAAAGAUAAUAGCCAAAUUGUCUUCAUCAUUCAUUUUUGGGUUCAUUUUAGAGCAAUAUUCACUUGCAAUAUUUUAACAAAAAUGAUUUGGAGUUUUGACAUCAAUCGCUUCACCGACAAAGUGGAGAACUCCUCUAAAUCUUGUGUGGGCUCAGAAGGACAUCCACAUUCAUGAUUUCUGAUAAGAUAGAUUGAAGGGAAUAAUCUUUCUGAUAAGAUGUAUUUGGUGCAGCAUGAGCAAGACAUGUUGUUUUCUGAAAUGUAAAAAGCUAAUAUUUUUCUCCUUAUUUUUUCUCAUAAAAGUUUACCUUCACCAAGUAAAAGAAUAAAAAAUAAUAAAAAUGGCAACAUCAACUGCUGACUUUUGUUUCAUGAAACAAAAACUUCACAAAAGAAAGAUCAUAUAAAUCUUUAUUCUUUUUUUUUCUUUUUAAAGGAUGUCAGAUUGACAGGGAGGGCAAUUGAGCCACUGAUUGACUCCCCUAUUGUGUAUGUUAAAGGAUACUUUUGUAUUUGUUUUUGUAAGUAAUUAAUUUUCUUUUCUUCAUAAAAAAAAAGGAAGGAAGAAGAUGAAGAUGAGAUUCCAAGCUAAUUGAAGAAGAAGAAGAACAAGAAGAAGAAGAACAAGAACAAGAAGAAGAAGAAGAAGAAGAGGGGAACAGUCUCACUGCACAAUUUAUUGCAAAGCACAAGUGCAAGCACUACUAGAAAAACACUUGGUGUGUUAGCUCCAAACUGGUAAUGUCGAUUGUUUAGUGUGCAUUCCUUCCAUGAAGCUAACAUUUAUUUUCUCCUCCCUUUGAGCUCUAAAGUGUGCAGCAGAAUCCAAUGCUGGUGAGAGGCUCCUCCAUGCCUCACCACAAACAUGUUUCUCCAAGAUCCCAAACAGUGGCAUUGCCACCCCCCACAAAUCUCUCCCUUUUGAUGGACACACUGUUGCUAUUUUUGAGCUGACCCUACCACAGAGGAUUCCUUCAAUCAUUCAGGGAGUCUUGCAAUCAAUUGAUAGCUCUGAGGGAGAAUUCCCAGUUCCUUCUUAGUUAUUGUAGUAGGCAAUCUUCUUAGUUAUUGUUUGAGAGACGCAACAAGUGAAGUUCUAUUGUUUAUGAUUAACAUUUAUGGCUUGACAGUAUAUAUUUGAGAAUUAUGCUUAAUUCCUUGAUAAAUUUUAUUGGAGAAAUAAGAUUACGGAAAACCAAGGUCAUCUCGGAAUUAUGCGAACGCGAGAAUGGUCGAUGUACGCAAUCUUACCCUUUGGAAAACUAGAAAACUAGCGCGAUGUCGAAGUCAUCUCGAUAAGCGAAUGAAAGGGAAGCUAAUUGGUGAAUGGUCAAUAUGCAUAAAUAGUGUUAAUUUUUCUUGCAACAAAAAGAGAUAUCAGAUAAUAAACCGACAACCUCAUGCAAGCUGAGGUCAUUUUGGGGGUUUAUAGUUUCAUCACAGCAUCAAAAUUCAGCUACAAAUCAUUGAAAGACAAGAAGUUGGUCAUGGAUUAACAAUUCAUGUUUCCAUGGUCAAGUGAAGGAUGGAGAGCUUCUUGGGUAUUAUUCCUGAGGUAGAUGAAACAGACGAAAGAGGUUGAGCUUGAUGCUUCACAGGUUGAAAAGUGAUGCUUCAGUUGGCAGAAAGGAAAUGACUUGAGAGAAGGAACAGCUCCAAAAAGAAGAUGACAAUGUGUGAAAGAUUUAGGUGUCUUUUUCUUUCAGCAAACAAAUGUUCAAUUGUUGCAUUUAUUUUCCAUUUUAAUUUUAUAUUUUCAUAUGAUAGAUAGGAUAUUUGUUUAAAUAAAAAUUAAUUCUCUUGUUCUUCAUGAUUGACGUAUAUACGUUCUGUCGCUUAGAAUUCCAUUACCCCUUCCCGUUUCAGUAUUGGAUAUCAACUUCUCAUUUCAGUAAAGAUGAGAUUGUUCUUUGAUCUUUUGCUUUCUCUUCUGUUGCUCAAUCUGCAAGAUGUAACACAAAAUAUAAUUCUAAUCAAUUGAGAGAGAGUGGAAUGGGCAAUCACUCAUGAUAGUGAUCUACAGAAACCUAUUCAACAGAACCCACCUUGAGAUGUUGAUUCCUUCCUCUGCAAAUUUUUUGGCAUGGCCCACCUCCUCCCACGCUUAAUAAUUGUUUCUUAAUGUUGAAGAAAUUGCAGUUUGAUGUAUUAAAUGUUUGCCAAAUUGUCAAAUUAUCUAACGUUGGAGCUCUAUUUCCACCAAAUAUUAUCAUUGACCUCAGUUGAGAGAGAAUGGACAACUCAAAUUUAAUUGGUAGACUUGUCUGCGUCCUAUUGAUUUUUGGAGCCCUACCAAUCGCAGUUAGGUCAAAAAGAGAUUUAUCUCAACAUGAAAGAUGAUAAUGCUACUGAAAUGCAAUGGACAUAUACACCAUGCAGCAUAUGCCUGCAAAUUCUGUGUGGACCAUGUCCUUUCCCUUUUGAAACUCAUGAUUCAUGCUAUAGUCAUUUUAAGUUGAAUGUUGAUGUUGAUCAUCACAGGAAAAAAACCAUGUUGAUGUUGAUCAUCACAGAAAAAAAACCAUGUUGAUGUUGAUCAUCACAGAAAAAAAACCAUGUUGAUGUUGAUCAUCACAGAAAAAAACCAGAUUCCAACGUGACAAGACUUCAAGAUUCUCAAAAAGUAACAGGACAGGCAGAAUGAGUAUCAAAUUGAACUGUUAUGGCAAUAAGUUCUGUGUUAAUAUUAUAGACAUACAACAGUAAUAACUCUUGUACUUUUUCGAUCCACGAGGAUUCAGAUAGUUCACCUAGCAUCUUCCUUUUCAGUUUCAUGUUCAGAAGCUGUUGAUGGUCUCUAUUGAUCCAACAGUCAAAACCAUCCAAUGAUGCUGGAAUCAGUUAACUUGUGCUGGAAUCAGUCAAAACCAUCCAAUAGACAUACCCGAGUUAUGUUACAAAAAUCAUAAGCAGCAGCACUCUCGAGAAGCUGAAUACAACACCAUCACUGUAUCUCCAGAAAUCCUGUCUGCCUAGCUUAUCAGCUUUUCACGAUACUUCAUCACUGGAAUAUUCUUCGGUUACUGUAGAUUGGUAAUCCAAGGGGUUGCAAUUAUUUUAGCAUAAGCCACCAAUUUUCAACCCACUCAUGCAUUGUACACAGUGGAGAUCAUGAUCAGGCGUUUGGCCAGCUUACCAGCUACCAGGCUCGGCCAUUGCAGCACAGGCCCAAGCAAAAAAACAAGAUUGCACUCUAAAGAUCAGAAAGUGAUUAAAUGCAAUAGCACUUGAUGAAAGAAAAGCAUUUGCAAUGUAGGCACUUAAUCCCAUGAUGUCACGGACAGUGCCACCCAAAGAUCGUUGGACGUUCCCUGUAUAUACAUCCGAUGUGUCUGAAUUUCCUCCAUGGUGGCCAUAGGAAUGCUGCUACCGUAGUGACUAUCUUCUACUCGAUCAUUGAUUGAGAAUAUUAUUUCUCUUAAAAUAGGUUCAUGCCCAUUUAGAAGAUUGCCCAUGCUCAAAACUUUCCUCCAUGAUUGAUUGGCGGUGGGGGGAGGAAAUAAAAUGGAUACAGCAUCUCUCUCAUGCAUCAUCACUAAUUGCUUGGUUUUGAACUCCUAAACAGGUUUAAAAAAGAAAUUUAUACAAUCAACCAAAAGCUUUUCAUGCUAGUGUACUUAUAAGACAUUUUGAAGGUGAACACUCAUGGAAUCAGUUGUUUACAAAUGGGUUUUUCAUAAUUGAUGAGAGUCAGGCUGGGAUGAGACAGAAUACCUAUUGUCCUUUAUGAAAUUUAUAUUCAUCAUCUAGAAAACAUCUAAAACCUAAACAUCUGAGACCAUAAGAAUCAAAGAAAUAACAAUUAAAGAUGAUUUGUAGAUGUCCAAAGAUGAUUUAGACCAUUAGUAUGAUGCAUAUGCACCAGCUUGUCACCAUGCAAGUUUACUAAUGGAUGAAACAACUUACUUCAUCAAAAAAAGGAAAAACAAAAACAAAAACAAUAGUACCUGGUCAUAGCAAAUGCUCUCUAAACUGGUACCCAUUUUGGGAAGAUAAAAGUUGAAAUAGUCACUGAACAUUGCUUCAGAAAGGCGUGGGACAUCUAAUAGCUUACGGUGGAUUGAAGCUGCAAAAAUUAGUAGUUUCUCUAUGUGCUCGAAUACAAGGCAAAGCCGUCUUAAAUCACCUAUCAACUCUGCCUUUUCACGAAGAUGAUUUGCUGUAAAAUGUACAGAGUCAGUACUCAAAGUUGCAUGUAUCUAAAUAAUAAUACUUAAAAUAUUGUACAUUAGAGUUAAUAAUAAUUUUCACCACAGCCCAUGAACUUUUAGAUAGAUGGAGCCCACUGAAUAGGCAAGCUGCAGGCUUGUGACUAUAACUGGAAGAAGUUAAAUGGUAGAAUCUAUGCUACUUUAAGUGGACUUUUAAUGGACCAUCCAAACCAUUAGUAACUUACAUAGGACCAUCCAAACAUAUAUCGGAUAAGAAACAAUGAUCUACAUCAGUACUUAAAAGGAAUAGAUUUUUGAUGAACUAUAAGAUCAAAUUACAACUACAGAAUCUACUUGUUCUCUCAAAGACAACUAUUUAACUUAUAGAGUCAAAUCACAUACCUUGCAAAGGCUUUAAAGUUGAUGCUAGUGUAAUGUAAAGCUGAUUAAACCUUGUCUUCAUGGGUUUAAAAUCACCAUACAUGGUUUGGUUCAGAAUGUCAGCUGAUGCUCUGAAGGCAGUGCAAACCAUUUGCUCAAGCAGCUGAUGUGGUUUCAAAGUUUCAAGAUAAUGGAGUAUCUAUUGCAAAAGAAGAAACACUUCAGUGGCAGAAAAUAAUGUUGAUCUUAACAAGCACAGAUUAACAGUUAUAGCUGCCACAAUUAGACUUACUAAAAGCAUACAGAACACAAAAGAAUGCACCCACCUCUUACAUCAUAAGCAAGCAUUUUUCCAUGGAUGCCUAAACUUACCCAUAUGUGUCAAAUUCAGAUCAAACAUGUACUUAAAAACAGGUUGGCAAUAAAAUUUCAGUUUUCUUCAUGCUAGAUAGACGCAGAACAACUACCCAUAAAUCACAUAAGAUAACAUUGGAAGAGAAGUUCAUUUAAUAGGAAACAAGGACAAAAUAUAAUGUGUGCUGCCAGGUUGCUUCUUGAAUUUUCUGUUAUCUUUCUCCUAUGGUGAAGAGCUUUUUCUCAGUAGCAUUCUAUAAUCAUUUUUUAUUUGUAUAACUUUCCUAAUGUUUUAAAUCCAUCAGACUAGUAGGCAUUGAAUGUUGCACCUCUUGUGCUGCAUGCUCUUAUAACCAAGGUUUACAGUUUCGAAUAAUACCGCCCAGUAUGGGUGGUAUAUACCGGUCCGACAGGAUACCGGUAUGCGGACUGCUCGCUACCAGACGGUACCGUCGAUUGGGGCUGUUUCCGCCUCGGACGGUGACCGAGGGAGAAGAAAGAAAGGGAGAAGGGUGGUAUUAAGCGAGGGACGAAAGAACAGGGAGAAGAAGAGGAAAACCUGGAGAUCGGCGCCGCUCUCCCCCCUCGUUUGUCGGCGACUUUUCUCGGCGUGGGGAGAAGAAUCCGCGAUCGCAGGGAGAAGAGAGGCGAUGUCGCGGGCAGAAAAGAGGAGAUGUCGCCUCGUCGUUUUUCUGCAAUGUCGCCUCGGCGACAUAGGAGAAAAAAUUUUCUUUUCUGCCCACGUGGGGAGAAGAAAGUUUCUUCUCCUAACGCACCAAAAAGGGCGACAAGGCUGUCGGUUUUUUUUUUAUACUUUUAUAUAUACUGAGUGGUAUAUCGAAUUGUACCGCUCGGUAUACAGUAUCGUACCGUACCGAACAAGUCUCGAAACUUUGGUACGGUACGAAAUUUCAAUCCUUGCUUAUAACUAAAGUACUUCAUGCAGUUCAUAUGCAAGCAAAAUCUCGCUUUCUGCAUACAUGCUCUUAUACACAAAAACAACUCUCCAGUAUUGCAUAUUUCCAAUGGAUCAAAAGUAACUCCGACAAUCACAUCUUAUCAAACACAUUUAGAAAGUCGACACCUUUGAUCGUUUUCCUAGUCCAUCACCAACCUUUUUGCAUGAAACCGGUGCAGAAAUAUCAUAAAAAUGAAGUUUAUCAUUCGCUAUAGCAACACUGCUAUGCACCACUAAUAUCAGCAGUUGGAAAGGUUUCUUUCGGUUAGAUUGAAUCACAGAAAUAACCACCUUUACUCGUAGCAAGAAAAUGCUAUUUGCACAAACCAACAUCAAGAUAUUCAAAGAUAGACAGCCUUCAACUUAUUUUCAUAAUUAAUACAUAAUUAUGUACCAAUAUUCAGAUCAGGAAUGUUGCUUUAACUCAUAAGCUAUCAUGUAAGAACCAUCUUUGCACAUUUAAAGAAACAUCUCUUUCUUUCUCCAUUGAUAAAUUGAUUCUGCUGCAGCUGAUAUAUACUAGUCUGAUUAAAACCAAAAUGACUUUCAAUUUUGAGAAAACCACCAAUUUGAUUUGAAGAUGCGUCAGACCUUCAAGAUAGGGUGAUUUACACAAAGUUCCCUUUUUGAAACCACCCAUUUGCUCUCAAACUGUAUCUGAUCUCUUUUGAUGAUUCAUAGCAAAUUGGCCCCCGAGAAUUCCUUGCAACUUUUUAUAUUAGAAGAAGCAUAACCUCUUAUCUUGACUUUUCUGGCAACUAAGUUAGAAAUCUUGGGAAGAAUUAUAAUUCCACAGCAAUAUAACUCAUUCAUUUCACAACAAAAAUUGUCACUUUCAUUACUCAGUUCAGAGGAACCUGAUUUUGGUCCAAUAUGUGGUUAGAACUUAGAAGCACCAAAAUAUCAUGAUCCAACAAUAGUACAUGCGGUUGUGCAAAAUAUCAUGAUCCAACAAGGUACAUUUAACAUAUUAAUCAUGAAUUUUCACACUACAGUUUGACUAGUCGAUGAUGUCAAUACUGUACUCUGCAAUUUCAUGGCUAUUACUCAUAUCUAACACAUUCAUAUGAUAAUUAUUACUUUGCAACAAACUAGCAUGAAGCUAUUGGAAGAGAACCUUAACUGUAGAAGUUGAAAAAAAAGAUUUGUGACCCAGUUACCCUAGCAAGAUUAGUACUAUGUAAGAGUGAUGAAUUAAAACAUAUAAAAUCUGUAGCACUAAAAUGUAAAAAAAUGAUAAAGUACGUACCUUUUCUCCUUCUCGAAUUGGGUCAAGAAGGGACUUCUGCUCUAACACUGGCAAAGGUGGAGAAUCAUUCCAAAUUUGUCGCCAUAAAUUCCCAUGUUCAGACAUGCGCUGUGAAAGUUUUCCUCGAGGAGGCCAGUUAUUUCCAUCACCUGCGCAGCCGUCCAUGUCAUCAUUCUCCCAGUCACCAGGUGAAUGCCACCGAAUAAAAUCCUCAAACACUGCAUCUGGGUUUGCAGCCUUGAAUGCUGACAUGUCUAGUACAACAAAAUUGUGAAACAUCAAAUAUAAUUCAUUCAUAAUUUUCUAACUUAUACAUAUUUUUACAAAGAGUGAGGUGAGUCAAUAGGUUUAGUGGUGCAAAGAAAGAGAGAAAGACCUAAAAAAGUUUUUACAAGAUACAAUAAAGGGAGACUUGAUUGUUCUUAGAUAACGAAAGAUAUCAAUCCAAAAAGAGAUCAAUAGCAAGGAAAAUACCCAUGUAGGUGACCUUAAAUAGAUGGUACAUAAUGAAUUAUUGUUGUAGUGCUUGCAAUUUCACUAGAAAGAGCAGGGCUCUUAAUCCAAAAUCAAAUUACAAUUGAUAACAGCAGCUUAUCAGCACUUGAUGAUGUGUUAAAAGUAAUCAUGAUUUCUCAAUUAAUAAACUCAACAAUAGUUUCCUGUGAACAGAAAAAGAAGAAAAUAGGAAAAAUGAAAAAAAAAGAAAUUAACAUAUAUAUAAGUAUAACAAUAGUACUGUUAAAAACACAACUUUGUGAACCCUUUAGAAAAGGUGAUUUGGGCAAUCUUACCAGAUGAGAGAAUAUCUCUUUCCAAUUGACCAGAGAAACUCUGUAACACAAAGUACAAGACAUUAUUUUCCAUUGACAAAAAUUGCUAAUGUAUUGUCAGAUAAAAAAAAAGAUGAUGGUUUGUCCUAUCAUAUCUUCAAACAACUAAUGCCUGAAAUUAGCAUAUGUCGACACAAUAAGGACAAUUGCACCAUGCCCACAGCUAACUAGAAAUAAUUGAAUUAAAUGCAUCUGUUCUUGCUUCAAGAUGGUGUGUCAAAUCAUAUGGCCAUAUAUCCCAUCACAUAAAUACAUCCUGCAACUUGAUCUAAGGUGAGCAAGUAUGACCCCACUUGCAAAUACAUUUAAUGGAAAUAUAACUUUCUAAGGGUAUUUUCUGACCAAAAAUUGCACAAAAUAUCUUUUGGUUGGAACUGAUUUAUCUAUGAAUCCAAAAUACCCUUAGAUGUGCUGGAAAGGCUCUCUUUAGCGAGAUCCACAUACGGAGGCUUGGGGAAAAACAUUUUAACUAAAAUGGAAAGACUAGGUGUCAUAUGAUGCAAGAAACAGUUCACACUAAAACCUACCAGAAAUGCCACCUUUAUGUCAUUUAUCUAUGUUUGCCAAACCAAACAAGUCUAGAUUAUAAUGCACAAGUCAAGCGAAAAUUCUUUCUUUACAACAAUGACUUAACAAUGAUCUGACUCCUGUAUAGUGAUACUGAUAUAUCUUGUCACUGAUGAUAAAUAAUUGCCCUACACAGCAUCAUCAACAGGCUAGAACUGGAUGUUGAAAAUCUAACUGCUACCACUAGCAAGGUAAAGAGUUUAAUCAUGUUAUAUUAUAAAUGAUCAUCUUUUAUGUCACACGUGGCACUAAUUGGCUUAUUGUCUAUGCUACAUUUAGGGGUGACUGUUUCAAAAACUUACAUCCACUGAUAAUACUUUGAAAGUUUGAAUUCAUGUUGAUACAACAUGGAUCCUAAUAAUACAUAGUAUCAAAUAUCGAAUGUAGUGCUCAGAAGGCUAGGAGGUCGCCCGGAAGCAGCCCAUCACAUCAACACCCGGAUGUGGUGUCAAAUGGGCAAGGGUUCUCACAUUGUUUUAGACCAAUGGGAAUAAAGAAGUUUAGUUUAAGAACAGAGGGUUGGGCUAACAACUUGAAAUAUAAGAACACUUUUUAAGGGAAGAUAUUAGAAUUGGUAGACACUAUGAUCAUAAGAAGAAUAAAUAUUAUUUGCUUACAAGAGACAAAGUGGGUAGGGAAAAAAUCUAAAGAGAUUGAUAGCACUGAAUUUAAACCUUGGUAUACUGGAAAAGUUAAACACAAAAAUGGUGUAAGAAUUGUUGUUGAUAAGGGUCUUAAGAAGUAAGAACAAUGUUGUAGAUGCAAAAAGAUUUGGAGAUAAAAUUAUAGUUUUAAAAUUUGUGAAUGGAUAAGAUGUUUUGAAUGUUAUUAGUGUUUAUGCCCCUCAAAUCGGAUUAAAUGAUCAAACCAAAGAGAAUUUUGGAAAAGCCUAGAUGAUAUGAUUCAAAUCGGAUUAAAUGAUCAAACCAAAAGAGAAUUUUGGAAAAGCCUAGAUGAUAUGAUUCAAAAUUAUGUAACUACUAGUGUUAGAACUAUAGGGAGUGUGUCUAAUGAGUUUCCUAUUAGCAUAGGAUUACAUCAAUGAUCCACAUUAAGUCCCUAUAUUUUUAUAUUGAUAAUAGAUUAACUUACUAGUCACUAACAUGAUAGAUCUCCAUUGUGUAUGUUGUUUGCUGAUUAUAUUAUUUUAGUUGAUGAGAACCUAAGUAGAAUUAAUUAUAAAAUUGAGCAAUAGAGGCAAGCCUUAGAAACUAAAGGUUUUAGAUUAAGUAGAACUAAAACUGAAUAUAUAAAAUACAAUUUUAGUGAUUCUAGGAAUAGAUAUAAGAAUAUAAUUAAGUUGGAUAAGCAAAAGUCUCUUUAAGAUAAAACUUUAGAUAUUUUGGAUCAAUUAUUUAAUAAAAUGAAGAUAUCGAUGAAUAUAUUAUUCAUAAAGUAAAAACAGAAUGGUAAAAAUGACAAGGAGCAUCAGGAGUCUUGUGUGACUAAUAGAUAUCUUUGAGAUUAAAAAAAAUAUUUAGAAAAUAGUUGAGACCAACAAUGCUUUAUGGAUCAGAAAACAAUUUUAAGACUAACAAUGCUUUAUAGAUCUGAGUGUUAGGUAAUUAAAAAAUAAUACAUAUAUAAAAUUUAUGUUAUCGAGAUGAAAAUGUUGAGAUGGAUAUAUGGAGUUAGUUGAAAAGAUAGGAAAAAGAAAUAGUUUUAUUUGUGAACAACUAGGUAUUACUUCGAUAAAGGAUAAAAUUAAAGAAAAUUGUUUAAGAUGGUAUAAGCAUAUGAUUAGGAGAUUUCUGAAUGCGAUAGUUAGAAGAGAUAAAAUGAUUCAUGUUAGUGAUACGAGGAGAGGUAGAGAACGACCUAAAAAGACCUUAAUAGAAACUAUUAAUAAAUAUUUAAGUACUCUGAGCUUAACUAAAUAUAUAGCUUUUUAUAGAUCUCAAUGGCAACAAAAGAUCCAUGUUCCGACCCCAAAUAGUUGAGACUUAUGACUUUGUUGUUGUUGUAUCAAAUGUCAAAUGCAAUUUUUGCAUCCUAUACUUAAUUAGACAUUAUUAUAGUGUGUUUUAUAGUUGUAAUAUUGCAGCUGAGUGGUGGCCAUGGAGGAUACUACGUCAAUCAAAAAAAUAAAAAUUGCAGCAAAGAUCCCAGUGUAAACCACAUCAUCCAGUGGUGCAUAUAGAUGCUUGGAGAAGCUGAUAUACAUGCAUUAUAACAUUUGCAAUAUCUCAAGAUAAAGAAAGGAAGGUUGAGGAAGAUCAAUUUGACACUCAAUUUGUCCAUGAUGAUUCUAGAGGAAGAUCCACUUGACUCAAACUUUCCAUGAUAAUUCAAAUCCUGUGAUGGUUUCGUUAUGUAGUAUGUACAACCUAGAAUAAAGAUGUCCAACACUCAAUGGGAUGGGAGAUUCACUACGUUUGUCAGGAUUUAUUUAUGAACAUAUUGAGUAGGAAGAUCAACAAGAUGAGGUGACUAAAUAUGAGGGGUUAGGCCUUAUGACAUUGCCAGGGCACAAGAAGUCAAUCUUCCAUGGGUCAUCAUGCCACAAGAAGUCAGUCUCACUCAUCCACAUGCACAACAAGGCCAAGUUCGCUCAUUUGACCAUUAAGUGGUAGUUGAUAAGCAACAGUUCGAAGAGGAUGAUGAAACUUCUCCAAGUGAUUACAAUCUCCAUGAGGUUAGAAUUGAUUCUAGUGAUGUCGACAAUAUUGAUGCUAGUGGACAAAACCUUAUACUACACGAAGUUGUGAAUAGUGGAUAAAGGAGCAGCACUAUAACAUAUUGGAGCAACAAUAUCCACAAAGUGAUAGAUACUGGAUACAGGUUGAUUUAAACUCUUGGUGAAACAGGUCAAUUUAAACUCUUGGUGAAAAUCCCGAACAGUAUAAAACUCGCCAAGCAAACUCUUAAAUAACAAAAAAGAUCACAGAAACCAACUUAAAAGAAAACAGAUUCAUCAUGGAGAAAUACCCAUCUAGUCAUUUUUACUAUAAAAUUCUUUAGUCUAUUCUGUAAGUGAAGUCCAUAAUCAGACUUAAAAAUGCGUCACUUAGUUCCUCAACUAAUUGGAGCCUUUCUCAAUAAUCUUUUCUAGGUAGGUUUUAUAAGUAAAGCAAACCUAUAAGAGACAGAAAUGCAAUCAUAGUUUUAGAAAAUUAAACUUACAAAUGCAUCACCAAAUACUUCAACAGCAUGAAGCCUUUCCUCAUGCAUAUCUUCUGUCAUAAUUGGUGCAUCCUAAAAUUGAAGACCAGGAAAAGCUUAUUCAGCAUUCCCAGAAAAACAAGGUUCAAUCUCAAAAAAUGUACAACAGAACAGAAACACAAAAAUAACCUGUGUGUAUGGAGCAUGCAUCUUCUGAUAUGAGUGGAGCAGCAUCAUUGACCCAACAACACCAGCUGAUCCUUUCCGUACUUGAUCUACUUUUUGCAGAUCAGGAGAUCGUACACUAUAAUCAUGAUGCUUAAACGAACUUGAUGUAGAUGGUUCUGAAUCUUGAUGACAAUAAGAUCUCAGAUAACUGUGCAAAGAAAAAGUUUUAACUUUUAAGUAAUCUACAUUUGUUGAAACUGAACGAAAAACAACUUCUAAGAAAAUUAAACUAACAUUAAAGAAACAUUACUUCACUUGAAACAAAAAACUUUAUUUCAACCAUUUUAUCCUGAUAAAAACAUAGAAUCUAAAUACAUUUUUAUGACUGUACAUGCUACUAAGUAUUCUUCAUCAUUUGAACAUUUCAUUGACACUUCAACUCUCUUCUGGGAUGACAAGAGAAGUCCCAGUUCUAAGAAGACAAAUUAUCAUUUCUUACAUCAGAAUUCCACAGGAGAGCAUCCAAUUUAAAGGAAGAUAACUGGUUCAUUAUGUCAUCAAUAAUUCAGGGAAAAACCAAAGCAAAAAGUGGUUGGCAUAUAAUUAACACUUAGCUUAUGGCAUCUGUAGACAAAAUAUAAAGACAAGGCAUAUACGAAACACAAUCUUAAGAGUUAAGACCAAACAAAAAGUUUGAUCCAGAUUAAACAGCUUGAUCAUUGUAUACCCUAUACAUAUUUAUUUUGAUGCAUGGUGCAUUUACAAUGAAUAUAUAGACAUAUUAUUCUACUUUGCAUGAGUUCUUAUAAGCUCCAUUAUCAACCAUCACUUCCCAUAGUUAAAACUGGAUCCAAGAAAAAUCAUAUCCAAAAUUACUUCCAAUCAGUGGAUAUAAAAAAUAGAUACAUAAUUAUAAACUACAUUUCUUUGAUGGAUAUGGAUUCAAAUUGGACAUAUAAUAGAUGUGGUCAGAAAUUGGACUAAGGUGAAUAUAUACAUGAAUAUCAGGUGAAUCAAGGAUACAUCAGUUUAAAGAAACUAGCUCAAAUAAAUUGAUCAUAUUUAUUGAAUAAUAAUAAAAUUAAUGUGAAAGGAAAAGAAAGAACGAGAAGUAUAUAUACUUUGCAUAUUAUAAUCAAUUCAAAUAAUAAAUUUCCUUAUGAUGUUUUUUGACCAUAUUAAUACUAAGUGCAACAUUGCAUCCAACACUUACACGUCAUUUCAUUGCCUCCAUUAACAAUAAAUUGCAAUAACAGCAACAAAUAACUCUUUAAUGCCUUCUACAGAGAUAAAUGAUAGCCUAUGACAAUUCCUCAUCCAAUCAACAAGUCUAUGUGUUGCCUCAUCGGAUGACAUCACAUAAUUCAUAAUCAGAUCCUUUGCGAGUCAAGACUCGAUAUGGAUAUCAACAACCAGUGCCACUAGCAAGAACUCCACCACUCAUGAAAAUGUGAUAAGAGAAAGUUCAAGUUCAUAGAGUUAGCUGAAUUGAAGGAUGAUAUCAGUAACUUCAUUGCAUUUGUAGCAAAUAUUAAAAUUGGUGGUCGCUGAGAAAUAGAUCUGAAUCUUCCUACUUGACUAUAAGAUCCUGUAGAUUAUCGGAAAAAAGGGAAUUCCACAUACACAAGUGCCUAAACUAGCACAUAAUGAUUGCAACAAUGUGCUAAAAAAUGAACAUUGAUGAAAAAAUGCCAGACCAGUGGCAUUGGCUCAAUUCAGAUUUCCUAGUGCCUACUCUCUUCAACUGUUGGACAAAGUUCAAAGAAACAGUUGGACCAGGACACACCACCAGUCAGACCGGUACAACUGACAUCUAACUGGUUUCCAGCAUGUAGAGCAAUUUUGCAAGGCCCAAAUCUAGAGAGCUGAAAAAAACUGUCAACAACUAUUGGUUGUCAGAAAAUAGUAAAAAAGUAAAACAAUAAAUAAAAUUUGGCAAUUUCACUGAGGAGAAUUUUUUUAUUAUUCAUGGAUGUAUUUGAGUUCUUAUUUUCAAUUGAUGUUUUAGAGAGUCCCUAGAGUCCACGUUUAAGCCUCUUUGUCGUCAAAGAGUCUUAGUGUACUUAUAAGACGAGUUGUUUAGCAAUGGAUAGUUUUGAUCAAGGUUUGAAAUUUCAUACCAUACCGGUGUAUCGAGCUUUGAUCGGUAUGGUACAAUGCAUUGUACCGAGCGGUAUGCCUAUAUAUAUAAUAUAUUUUAUAUAAAAAUCAAUAUAUAAAAAUCAAUAAAAAUAUUUUAAAAAAGACAUACGCAGCCACGGUGGCGUCGCCUCCUCAUCACCUCAUCUGCUGCAUUUGGCGAAGAAGGCAACGAAGAUGUCCAAGGCUGCAGAUGUCUUCGGCCUUUGGCGAAGAACGCAGCGAAGAUCGCAGACAUCUCUGGCCUUCUGCGAAGAAGAAAGCCAUAGAGUCGCAGAUGAGGCGAUGAAGGAGACCGCCUCUUCCGUUGCUCUAGUAGCUGCCUCCCCUGAUCCCUGCGCAUCCAGAUCCUCCUCUUUACGACUCUCCUCACCGUUACCUCCAAGACCGAGAUCAAGGCGGCACCGGAUCGAGAUCGAGAAAGGGCGUGGAAACAAGUUCGCGUCGAGGUUUUCCCGAUUCUCCCUCUUCUUCGACUGCCCUCUCCUUCUUCGACGCUUCUCCCUCAGCCUCACCGCAGCCAGGUUGCUAUAUUUAACGGACCGCCCGGUAGUAGGCUAUCACGGACAAAAUUCUAAACAGGAUGUUUGAUGUAAUACUUAUGUAUGUCCGUGUCUUUUGGUUUGUUCAUGCUUUGCACAACAUGUAGAGGGACGAUCGAAGGCUUAACAACCCCAUUUUAAUUGGGUUUGGUGGCUGUUUUAGGCUUGUAAAUAAAGGAUGUGUCAUGUGGACACUUGUGAGAGAUACUUGGUCUGUAGUGGACCAUUUUGACCCUUUGUUGUGCAACCGUUCAGAGCUUGUAAAGUCUGUUUGUAAUUUGCAUUGGCUAUGAAGUGUUUUCUGAAAUGUUUGCUUGUGGAUCCCGAGUGAGGCGCUUUCUCUAACUCGUUUUCUCUUUUGUAGGUCCUAAGGGACCAUGGGAGGUUUCGAGGAGGCUGACCUUUGCGGAUGGACAUGCAAGGGUGCCGCACAACUUAGGCAAAACCAGCUAAGUCCGUGACAGGGCGAUCGGCGUACCGGUUCACGGGCAGACCGGUAUGUAUCGCCCGUACCAGGCAGUACGAUUCGAAAUCACAAACCUUGGUUUUGAUAUUACUUCUCUAAAUUAUUUUCAAAGGUAUUUUCUCCUAGAGUUGGAGAAAGCUCCAAUAGCAAGGACCCAAUCCUAAUUGAUUAAAAUAUCUUCUAGUUAUGAGGUUGGGUCCUAUGUCAAUUCAGCAUGAGUCAGCUAUAUAGCAUUAAAGACAUCUCAACAAGAUUCCAAUUAAUAAAUAUCAUGAAUCGACAUGUCAUAAUAUUAAGCCACGUUAUUUGUGGCAUUAUAAUAAUAAGAUAAUCAUUUAUAUGUGUUUAGUAUAUGGUUGCAACUUCUAUAUAAUGGCAGAAAAAAAAUCAAAUAACAAUUUGGAGAAUCAAAAGAUAACAAUUUCUGCACGAAGGUGAGAAAGCUACUGAUGUCGGCAGCAAUUUUAUCAUGCUUGUUAAAAUUUAUUUAGGCCCACCAUGCAUCUAAUUUGGGAUGAUAUUUACGAAUAUUAAAAGGUAGGCACAAGUAGAUUAAUUCAUGUAGAUCAUAUUGGUCAUAUAUUGCAUCAAUGAAAUUAAUCACAUAAAAAGUGUCAAUAGCUUAUAUUUCAUGUCAGAUUGCUUCAUUCCUAGGUGAGCUUUGAACAUACAAACAUAAUUUAAAAUUUUAAAUGUAAACUACCAGGACCAGAAAACCACUGCAUGAUUUUCAUGACACUGUUUAAUAAUAGAUUAUCCACUUCCAUACAUUGAAUAUUAAGCAAUGGAUUAUUCUGGUGCAAAAAUAAGACAAACCCUUAAACACAUACUUUACCUGCCAUUUUCAUUUUUUACAGGUUCCUUAAAUGGGUCAGCUUCAGCAUCUACCUGUGUAUCAAGCUCAAGAGUGUUAGUAUCCCUUACAAACAGAAAGGUGAAAGACACAGGAAAUUGUGAGUCACACCUUUUUACCACUAGGAGUAUGGUCUACACUUUCAGUGCUGUUGUGAGUGUCAUGACUCAAGUUCUUCUUCUCAAUGCAUAUGGCAAGCUUAAAACAAGAUGAAAAAUUAAUGAGGAUGGUAAUUGUCUAAAAAAAUUAAUAAAAAACUUACCAACUUUUCUAAGUCUCUAAGCACUAGAAAUAUGUUACACAAUAACCAAAUCAAGCAUUAUAAAGAAUAAUGAAAAGUAUAUACUAGAUAUUCCACAAUGGAAAUAUUAUUCCUUUACAACCUGAGCAAUCAGCAUUCGAGUCACGAGAACAGCCUCGUCUAGAUAAGGUUUGCAAACGUUGGCCGUCACUAUAUCUCGUGGAUACCCUGUCAGCUAGGUUCAUCCCUUUUUUUUCCUUGACAUGGUAGUUUAUGUCAAUUAUAUAAAGUUAUAAACUAUAUAAUUUCUAACAAAGGUUAAAUCACACAAGUUGCUAUAUCUAAGACAUUUGAAGCUGUAAUUAAAGCUUGUUAACUUGAAAAGUAGUUCAUCUUGUUUUCGUUACGAAUCUAGGUUUAACCAUACUAUGAGUAUACCGUACAAUACCACUCGGUACAGGCAGUAUAUACCGGUCUGAUAGAGGACAGGUAUGGGCAGUACAUCGGUACACCUUAGUAUACCAUGUAUUCGUACGUUCGGUACAGCUCAGUACGUAUCGUACCAAUAGCUGAUCGGUACACCGGUAUGGUACGAUAUUCAGAACUUGGAUUAUGACCCAUGAGUUCACAAAAUCUCUGUUAUAAGAUGAUGUCAGAAAGAAUCCUGGAAAGGAAAUCUUUGUGUUGAGGGUAAUAAGAUGAAACUUCAUCAGCUGAAGAUAAGAGGUUAACCAAGAAAGGCAUCCGGAUAGCUUGAUUGCCUCAUCAGCCAAAGAUUAAGAGUUACAAACCAAGAAACACAUCUACCUUGAGCAUUUAGCAUGCUGCAUUCUCCAGCAAGUUGCAAACAAGGUGGUUAGCAGUUAGCCCAAAGAUGAAUGAGAAACCAUUGCUGUGAUGACUUUGUCAUCAUAUCAACAGCAUAGCUUUGAACUUUGAAGGUUCUCACAAGUCACAACUACUCUAAAGGGCUCUCUACUCAGGUAGAUGACCCAAUGACGAUAGAAAAAAGACAUAAAACAAGCAUCACAUAUCAUACUUUACUUUGCUCAAGUUUUAUACAGAAAAAAGUAGAAAUCAGGAAAUCAUGUCAAGUUUCUAAAGCCUCUUUCUCCAAAAAGGAAACCUAUAAAUUAUCAAUCUUGUAUGACAAGGUAAGUAGACUCUCAUGAAUUUUUGUCCUUUCCUUUGCUUUCUCAUUAUUGCAUUGUCAUCCCUGUAUCAUAGCCAUAUCUAACAUAAAGCAUGGUACAUGUAGUGUACCAAGUUGUCCAGUAAGCGACAGAAUGGUCAAACCAAUUAGGGAAAAUUUCAUUACAAUCAUAAAUUGAGUUAUUUAAUCAGAGGCUCCCUAUAACCAAAAUGUAUGCUUUUCUUUCAAAUUGAUUAAAUGCAUUACCAUAGGCAUGGUGUCGAAAUAAAUUUUGAACAUUAAUACAACAGACAAAUUUUAGAGAUAGCAAAUUCUCCAAGGUUAGGGUACAGAAGAUAACAAAAGUAUGUUAUCCUAUACAAUAUGAAAAUGUACAAAGUUUAACCAUGCUGAUCUCUCCUAAUAUGCUACAAAGAGCAGAAAAUGUAGAUGAACAGAAUUAUCAAGCAUACGAAAGAGAGAAACAUUACCAUUUGCAAUUUCUGAUGUAUAAGACAGGCAGACAAGUCAAUGGUGGAAUCUGAUGGCAUUUUCGGCAAGGGUUGUGAUUCUUCCCAGCACCAUCGAACUUCUCGGACGAAUUCAAUCCAGAGGGAUGCAAUAGCUAGAUAAAUUCACAGCUAAAACUCAGAAGUUAUUCUUUUUGAGUGGAAACUUUCCAGAAAAUAUCUAAGUGCAACAUAAUUGAGACACAUCAAUCCAAUUUCCAAUGUGAAAGGUAGAUAAUGAAAGCAAAAAGUUUUGCUAAUACAAACCACGAAUGUUACAACCACCAAACCAGAGUGAAUGCAGACAAAAUUGAGCAAACAGGGAUUCUAGAGGUGUGCCUUUGAUUGCACGAGAGUGUUUAUUAUCCCGUUCCACAAGAUGCGAAUUGUGGCCUCCUGAAGUUAAGACGGUAAAUCCAGUUGAUACAGAACAGAAAAAAAUUAAAGAUAAACAAAUGAAGUGAAUAAUUGUUUGCAACCAUUACAAGCAUGCUUAACUGAAACAACAAGAUGCAACAACUCUGGAAUAAAAUCCAGUUUUUAUUUCCUCAAUCAAGAGAAGCAUUUUGCAGUUCUUUUGAACAAGUUACAGAACACUCAUUCGUGCUAUUCCCAUCCUGAUUUAAAUACUAAGAGGAAAACACAAGCCUUUAUUCAACUUGUGCAACUCCACCUGCACAUCACAAACACAUCUAUGUUGUAUCAUUUCUGCCCAAUAUUCUUGGAAAAUUUCCCCCAGAUUUUUCAAUUUCUCAAAGGCAACACUGAAACAUGAAUUCCUUUAAAAUGCUAUAGUACAAUGUAAAUCAUAAAUUUCUCAAUAAAUAUUGCAGAGGAAAGACAUUCCUUGUAUCCUACAAAACCAUAGUCCCAAAAUUAUCCAUGACAGUAGGUGCCCAGACUUUCUCUUCCUAUGAAGUUAUGCCACUCAUGAAUUUAUUUUAAUGACAAGACACUGAGAUAUACAUACAUGUGUCAUGUGGUCGUCAUGUACCCACAUUUUUAUGUGGACACCCUCAACACAUGCUGGUCACUGUACAAAUGCAGCAACCACCAACAGAGUACAUGAAGGAAGCAUUCAUCACAUGAUCAAUGAUUAGUUAAAUGCAAAAAAUGAGAUACUCAAAUUCAAAUAUCCAUGUUUCUAGAACUCAUCUCAUCUACUUGCCCAUCUUUUGUGGAUGGUGCUGACACCAUUGCCAUAUCAGGAUGUUAUAUAAACAUCUAAGUUUCCAUAAUACUAUUCAGCUACUUGCUCAACUUUUCUAGGGUAUUGCUUACAUCAUGGAUGUUUCAGGACCCAUAUUAUCCACAACUUCUCACUCCCUUGAUCUUCUUAAUCUUCAAGAUAGCAUCCUAAAAAAAGCUUACUAUCUUGCUAAAUUAUCCCCAUAAACUACAUCAUUUCAUCCCAAUCUUCCUCAAAUAGCUCCGACAGGCCAAACAUACGGAUCCUCAUUUGUAUUUUUCUCCAAAUUACUUAUCCACACCCUUAUCCUUCUGCUUUGAUAUAGCACUCUGAAUAAGUUUCCUUUCCUAUUUUAUACUCACAAUUCAUGGGGAUUGCAGUUCUCUUCAGUGAUAUUAACAGGGACCAGUCCAUUUUAUGGUAUUUAAGCAUGUUAAAAAAAAUCAAGGACAUGCUACCGCAUGCUUAUUAAUGGUAUUGUCUCACAUAGAUUAGUACAGGUCACAAUGACAUACAAUGCAACAAGAGUACUACUCAAUAAAUUGAUUCAUCUAUGUUAAAUCCAAACUCAUUAGUUUGCCACCUAUCUAUGAAAACAAUGGGCACAAUUCAAUAUAAUUAGGUUACAAGCACAAACCAUCCAUCAUGGUUCAAAUACAAGGCUUCAUUUUCAAAUAUGAUUCGGCAGGUACAUUCUGACAGGCAUUUAACAACCUAACUAAAGACCGUCAUCGAACCUUAUGGCUCACUAUGUCAAUAUUCUUUCCUAUUCUAGAAUACUAGACAGUACAAGUCAAUAUACUACCUGAUAUAUGGUACCAUAUCACUAACAUCAUGGUGUUGUAACCAUGGUUCACCUUACCAGUUAAUACCGGUGUACCGACCGACCAUUAGUAUGGUAUAUAUCGAGUCAUACCAACGUACUAACACAUGACACGGUGGGCAUACCAAUGUACCAGCAUAUACUGCUUGUACCGGUCCCCUAUUGGAUUAGUACAUACCGCCCAUAUCGAGCAGCACGCUGUGGUAUGGAGAACCUUGGUUGUAACGAAUGUGGAGUUGAGAUUUUAAACUUCAAUUAGACAUUUUUUUAUUAAAAUGUUUAGUCGAUUUCAUGUGCUCAGAGUGCUAGUCCUUCAAGUAUGAUAUUGUAAAUGAAACAAGAAUUCUUGUGUUUACAUGCAUAAGGAUAACAACUAUCCAUUUAGAUGAAAUUAAGAUGAUAGAUCAUAAAAAUUGUAGUUAUUUAGAUCUUCCGACUCAUUUAUAACACUUAUCUCAACUCAAGGCCCAUCUAGCACAACUGAGGUGGGUGACAAGCAUGUCUUUUUGAAAGUUCAGAUAAAAUCCUUUUGGGAUGAUUGAAGCCUCAAUUUUCUCACCUUAAAUCAAUCGUGGAGGCUCCAAAUUGAGAUUAAACUCUGCUACAUAUGAUCUAUGAUAUUCAAAAAUCUUAAAACAAAUAUAUACAUAAAUUUGUAUAUAUUUUGUGCUCAUCAAACCAAAGUAAAUUAUGAAAAUUGUUUGCUUAUGAACAAUGACCAAUGAUUUCAAAUGUAACUUAUUACUUUGGAAGAAUACAUAAAUUUUCCUUGUUUUCAUACUCCUAAAUUGUUGAUCAAACCAAGAUCUUUUCUAUGUCAUUCAAAUUGCUUAUUUUUAUACCACUUGAUGCAUAUGUUAUGAAACUUUUCAGAAUAUUACUUAUUGUGUCUAGAAUUUUCAGACAAUGUAGGUCAUGUUUGACAGGAUCAAUCUCCAACUUGAAGCAUCCAUUGUUGAAUUUAUGGUGUUAGGAACGAGGACCAGAUUCUAUCUAUAGGAUUCUAGCUCAACUCCAACCAACUACAAAAAUUAUCCAAAAUGAUUUUGAAGCAUCUGUUGAUGAAGGAAAUUAUAAAAUUUCAACUCAUUUAAGGAAUAUAUGCAACAUUAUUACCAAUUAACAUUGAUAGUCAAGCCUCGUAACCAUUAUUAAGAUUGGACAACUUCUGUUUGAUACACUGUUUCCAAUCAUGUUGUAUAAUCACAUAUAAAUAACAAUCAUGUUGAUACAACUGUGCAAAUUUGUUGUGUUAUAAUAGCAUCAAGAAGCAAAGUAAAAUGACAAUAACAUAGGCUUCACAACAUCAGUCAAAAUAGAACAAGGAAAACAGAUGAAUGAUUAGUAAGAUACCA